UAAUUGUUGGCCGGUAUGAAUGGCGUCACGAAGGCCCCACUGUCUUAAGAGGACUCUCCAUGAAAUUGAAUUCGUAGUGAAGAUGCUACGUCCAUAUUGUAAGACGAAAAGACCCCAUUGAGCUUUACUAAAGACUUGCAUGGCUCAAAAUAAUUUGACUUAAAUAAAGAGUUUAGAUAAUGUGGGACCCGUUUCUGGUUAAUGAAACACCACUCUUUUAUUUUAAGAGAGCUAACAUUACAGGGAUAGUGUAAGUUGGAUAGUUUGGUUGGGGCGACCACCUUUUAAAAGGUAACGAAGGUGAGCUUAAGGUCCGUAGUUAAUAGCCGGUGGCCUGACUGCAAGGGGGACGUCUCGAGCAGACACGUCCUUAGGGAUGUGGACUAUAGUGACCCGUCACCUUAGUGUGGAAUAGUUGACGAUC
rnacentral:rRNA from 1 species